GCCUUCUCCCGUCUAACUUCCUUACUCUUUCACUAUUCAUACGCACCUGCAUCCGCAGCUAAUUCUUAAAAGUAGUUGCUGAGUUUCGUUUCCUUAUUUUAUACGCAUACGCACGAGGCUAGAGGUUGAGUUCUACACCGAUCCCUUCAAUUUGAAUGAGUGGCUCUUUAUGCUUUAUAUAAUAAGGAUUCUUAUCGCCCUGAGGCGGACCCCGCUUUAAAGGAUGCUCUUUGAGGUAUUUAAGAAUAGCAAUGUUAGGGGAAAGUAAU
rnacentral:misc_RNA from 1 species